CCCUUAGAUGUUCUGGGCCGCACGCGCGCUACACUGAUUCAUGCAACAAGUUUUGUCCUUGGCUGAUAGGCCUGGGUAAUCUUUGAACGUGAAUCGUGAUGGGGAUAGAUGAUUGCAAUUAUUCAUCUUCAACGAGGAAUUCCUAGUAAACGCAAGUCAUCAGCUUGCAUUGAUUACGUCCCUGCCCUUUGUACACACCGCCCGUCGCACCUACCGAUUGAAUGGUCCGGUGAAAUCUCCGGACUGGCGUGAGUCGGAGCAAUCUGACAAACGCCGGAAAGUUGAUUAAACCUUACCAUUUAGAGGAAGGUGAAGUCGUAACA
rnacentral:rRNA from 1 species